UACGUAGGUGGCGAGCGUUGUCCGGAAUUAUUGGGCGUAAAGGGAGCGCAGGCGGGAAGGUAAGUCUAUCUUAAAAGUGCGAGGCUCAACCACGUGAGGGGAUGGAAACUAUCUUUCUUGAGUGCAGGAGAGGAAAGCGGAAUUCCUAGUGUAGCGGUGAAAUGCGUAGAUAUUAGGAGGAACACCAGUGGCGAAGGCGGCUUUCUGGACUGUAACUGACGCUGAGGCUCGAAAGCGUGGGGAGCGAACAGG
rnacentral:rRNA from 1 species